rnacentral:rRNA from 1 species
UACGGGGGGAGCAAGCGUUGUUCGGAUUUACUGGGCGUAACGAGCGCGCAGGCGGUCUCUUUAGUCGCGUGUGAAAGCCCCCGGCUCAACUGGGGAGGGUCACGCGAUACUGAUCGACUCGAAGGCAGGAGAGGGUAGUGGAAUUCCCGGUGUAGUGGUGAAAUGCGUAGAUAUCGGGAGGAACACCAGUGGCGAAGGCGACUACCUGGCCUGUUCUUGACGCUGAGGCGCGAAAGCUAGGGGAGCAAACGGG